rnacentral:rRNA from 1 species
UACGUAGGGUGCAAGCGUUAAUCGGAAUUACUGGGCGUAAAGCGUGCGCAGGCGGUUUUGUAAGUUUGUCGUGAAAUCCCCGGGCUCAACCUGGGAAUUGCGAUGAAGACUGCAAGGCUAGAAUCUGGCAGAGGGGGGGUAGAAUUCCACGUGUGAGCAGUGAAAUGCGUAGAGAUGUGGAGGAACACCGAUGGCGAAGGCAGCCCCCUGGGUCAAGAUUGACGCUCAUUGC